rnacentral:lncRNA from 1 species
GAAUGUAUUCUCAUGAUGAGAACUUGUUUUAGAACAUGCUAUGUUUUAUACAUGCUUGAGUAGAUGUUGUAAAUAUGCGGGCAAAUGAAAUGUAAUGCAUGUACUUGACUCGAUGUCUUGUGUACAUGGAUGUUUUGUUGUCUUACAUAUAUUUUAGUUAUAAAUAUAUGUAUUGACAUGUUGUUGUGUUUGCGUAUGCUAGUUGGUAUGAAGAUUGUUACACUAGUAUAUGUGGGGAAUAGGAUACUUAUG